AUAUCAGUCAUGCAUAGCAUAUCAAUAAGCGGAGGAAAAGAAACUAACAAGGAUUCCCUUGGUAACGGCGAGUGAAGCGGGAAGAGCUCAAAUUUGAAAUCUUCAAGGUUUUACCUUGACGAAUUGUAGUUUAAAGAAGUGUUUUCUGUUGAAGUUUUGGUAAAAGUUCUUUGGAAUAGGACAUCAUAGAGGGUGAGAAUCCCGUAUUUGACCAUUACUUUCAGCUUUGUGAUACACUUUCAAAGAGUCGGAUUGUUUGGGAAUGCAGUCCAAAAUGGGUGGUAAAUUUCAUCUAAAGCUAAAUAUUGGCGAGAGACCGAUAGCGAACAAGUACCGUGAGGGAAAGAUGAAAAGAACUUUGAAAAGAGAGUUAAACAGUACGUGAAAUUGUCAAAAGGGAAGCGUUUGACACCAGUGUUGUUUUCUCGAAAAUCAAUUAAAAAGAGUUGGAUUUUGUGUUGUAUUGACUUUAUCAGCUUUCUUCACUCUUUUCCAGCUUUUUUUAAUGCACUUUUCGUUUAACAAGUCAACAUCAGUUUCUUUUGUUGUAAAAAGGUCAUUGGAAGGUGGCUUUCUCUUCGGAGAAAGUGUUUAUAGCCUUUGACUCAUGCAAUCGGAGAGACUGAGGUCUGCAGCGUAGAUCCUUCGGGGUUAGGAUACAUUUGUGCUAAGUUAUAGCUUUUCAUAGACAACUUGUUGACUAUGUUUAGUCUUGUAGCUUACUCGCUUAUGCUAUUUUACCUACGCUUAGGAUGUUGAACUCUAUCACACACAG
rnacentral:rRNA from 1 species